AUGCCAAGUGUAAGUCGUCCUAAAGUGAUCGUCCUGCCGCCAUCCAGUGAAGAGAUUUCCAGCAAGAAGACAGCAACAGUGAUGUGUGUGGCCAGCAAUGGUUUCCCUUCAGACUGGAGUCUGAGCUGGAAAGUGAAUGGGAAGAUGUCAGGAUCUCAGGAGAACAGAGCUGGAGUCCUACAGAAAGACGGCGGUCUGUACAGCUGGAGCAGCAGUCUGACUCUCACUGAACAAGAAUGGAUCAACAGAGACUCAGUGAUCUGUGAGAUCAGUCGGGAAGGUCAGACAGUCACUGGAGAAGUGAAGAAAGAUCUGUGUUCUGAGUAG